GUCUACAGCCAUACCACCCUGCAUGCACCCAAUCUUGUCUGAUCUUGGAAGCUAAGCAGGGUCAGGCCUGGUUAGUACUUGGAUGGGAGAAGGGUGGGCAGAGACA
rnacentral:rRNA from 1 species